CCUACGGGAGGCAGCAGUGAGGAAUAUUGGUCAAUGGGCGAGAGCCUGAACCAGCCACGUCGCGUGAAGGAUGAAGGACCUAUGGUUUGUAAACUUCUUUUAUAUGGGAGUAAAUUGAGGAACGUGUUCAUUUUUGUACGUACCAUAUGAAUAAGCAUAGGCCAACUCCGUGCCAGCAGCCGCGGUAAUACGGAGGAUGCGAGCGUUAACCGGAUUUAUUGGGUUUAAAGGGUGCGUAGACGGGUAAGUAAGUCUGCAGUGAAAGUUUGUGGCUCAACCAUAAAAUUGCCGUGGAAACUGGGUGGCUUGAGUGUAUUUGAGGUAGGCGGAAUGCGUGGUGUAGCGGUGAAAUGCAUAGAUAUCACGCAGAACACCGAUUGCGAAGGCAGCUUACUAGACUAUAACUGACGCUGAAGCACGAAAGCGUGGGGAGCAAACAGGAUUAGAUACCCUGGUAGUC
rnacentral:rRNA from 1 species